GCCAUAUAUUAAGUGAUUAUGUUGUUGUCUGUUGCAUACUUUUGCUUUGCAGAUUUUGCUUGUAGUACUCAGUUUUUUUGCUCCUCCACUGAUCAUCUUUAAGCUCUGCACCAAAGUAAGGAAACACCGUCUAAUUCCACAAAACUGUGGCAGAAGGACCAGCUGCAGAGAAGGGACAAAACAGUUGCCACAGUCCAAAAUGGAAAAAGAUUUUUCAUUUUGAGGACAAAGCAUAUGCAAAUUUGGUAAGUAAGCAAAAAUCACAAGGAGAUACUACCUAACUAUUGUGAUUGCGAUGGUCUUACAAUUUGACCAAGUUUGGAGGAAUUUUUCACAUAAAUUAUCAAAGAUAGUAGGCUGAGACCAGUCCUCACUUCAAAUCUCAGCAUCAAUAUGGCAACUCAAUGAAUAGUUGUAAAUACGUUUUUAAUAAAAACAAGCAUAUUUUCA
rnacentral:lncRNA from 1 species